GAUAGCUGGAGCUCGGACGC
rnacentral:snRNA from 1 species